rnacentral:tRNA from 1 species
GGUUGUAGCUGUGGUAGAGCGCUUGCCUUGCAUGCAUGAGGCACUGGGUUCGAUCCUCAGCACCA